rnacentral:lncRNA from 1 species
CUUUUAACAAUACAUCUAUUAUGUGUCUCAACCUGAUAAAUUCUAUGACUCCUCACAAGGAUUGCCCUGGCCAAGAUCUUACUAAAUUGAAACACAAAGCAUUCUUUCCAAUCUCUUGAAGUGGUCAAUUCCAUCUUGACUCAUGCAUCGACUUCACAAGUACUUGACUGUGUCCAGAAACUUUCUGAUCCUGAAUUAGAAAUUUAGGUAGUCCGGUACCAAAGCAUAGUAAGUUGCUUGCAAGUCAUCGUGGUGACCUCA